GGCGGCGGUGCUCCCUUUAUAAGGAGGUGCGGCCAGGCACGCGGCGGGUGGGGGAGAGUGGGUCUGGGCGGGGCGGCGGUCACGUUUUGUCUAACCCUAACUGAGCUGGGCGGAGGCGCCGCGCUUUUGCUCCCCGCGCGCUGUUUUUCUCGCUGACUUUCAGCGGGCGGAAAAGCCUCGGUCUACCGCCACUUACCAUCCAGUCUGGAGUAAACAAAAAAUGUCAGCCGCUGGCUCGCUCGCCCCUCCCGGGACCCUGCGACGGCUCGCCCGCCCAGCCCCCGCGCCCCGCCUGGAGGCCGCGGUCGGCCCGGGGCUUCUCCGGAGGCGCCCAAUGCCGCCGCGAAGAGUUGGGCUCUGUCAGCCGCGGGUGCCUCGGGGGCCAGGGACGAGGCUCUGGCCGCAGGGAGAGGAACGGAGCGGGUCCCCGCGCGCGGUGCGCUUCCCUGAGCUGUGGGACGUGCACCCGGGACUCGGCUCAAACACGUGCAGCCUGCUGGGGGGCUGCGGAGGCGCGGGUCCGCCUUCCUCCUGGAAGGGGGACUCUGAUCGUGCGCCACCCCCUCCCUUCGCCGCCACUGGUGGGCCUCUGGACCUCGGAUCUGCAGAUUGGACCUGGGUGCGUGCAGAUUGGCAGGACUCGUCAAGCCACCUCCAGAACUGGCCCAAAUGAGUGGGCAAUGAGCCGAGUAGCCAGCUAGCCGUUCGUGCCUGCGGUUUUGUAUCCUAUUAACCCUCCUCUGGUUUUGUUACCGUUUCUUGUAUCAGAUCGUAGUUCUUGCAGUGCGGUUUCUGUUGAGGUUUUUGCCUCUCCCAAAGGAGAUCUCGACCAGUUCCCUCAAUCGGGUGUGAAAGAGCAGUGAUUUUUUUUGCGAGAUGGUUAAACGUUUCGUUAAGUAUUUGUUAACUAGAAGAUGUAUGUUCUCAAAACAAUGAAAGUUAUGUCCUUUCACGGUCGUUGCUUUUCAUCUUAUUUGCCUCUGCCUUUGGAUGCAAAGUAUUAAGUGGUGACAGACGGAAAAGAAAUUUACAAGGAAAGCUGUAUCCCCUGCUUCCCAAAGAAUUGGGUUUGGUUUUCUUUCAGAAAAGAAAAUAAGCUGAAGGCCCACUGGGUUAAAGGAAACAACCGUCGGGCCGUUCUGCCCACGCACCCCCAAAACCUCACUCCAGGCUUGCGUGUGGAUUCGUGCCAAGUCAGUGCCGCCUCCUUAGAACUGCGAUUCUGGCAGCUGUUGCUGGCAGAGGCCAGCGGCCUGCGUUAUAAAGGCAAAUUUUCAGGGUGGUACCCAGCCCACUCCUGAGGGGUCAGUUAGGAGUACCUAGUCAGUAAAUUUGUGAAAGUGUAGUCUACAGCAUCUCAGCCUAUUACCUAAAGUAUAGUCCCUCAAUGUUGUCUAACAAAUAAAAUUCCUACCCCUGUUAUAGUUAAGAAAUGUGAAAAAACUGAACUGCGCUGUUGCUAGUCACGUUCUCUAAGUAAGAGGGGAAAAGUUUUUUCCCCAGUCGGCGUGGGUUUGUGGAAAGAACACAGGAAGGUGAUCUUUCAAGACUUCUUGAAGGCUGCUGGGGUUCCUUGAACUACGAAGACGGUGAAUGGAUGUCUUUUGUUCCUGCUCCAUCUAGCGGUGCGUUUGCUUCUUCACAUGUACAAAAUUGGGGCCCGAGGCAAGGAUGGCUGUCUACUGGGAGUGCUUUUUUCUCUUUUUCACUUUGAAAAAGAAGAUAGUGAUUUAAUAAAUAAAAAUAAGCCUUCAGCUGUUGUCUAGUUCUUAUAUUUGAAAUCCC
rnacentral:lncRNA from 1 species